ACAUUCCACUACUAUCUCCCAAUAAACCCAUUCAUCUCCCCAAACCCUAUAACUCAAAGGCAUCAACACCGUACCUCCAAAGCUCUCAACCCCUUUCAUUGCUCUUUCCUUUCACCUUGAGAAUUCCAUCUAUGGCUAACCCUAAAUCUCCAAAUUCUCAAAUCAAAUCGCUGGCCUAGCCCAAAAUCUCCAAAUCCCCGAAGUCUCAAUCCAUUUUUGUUAUUCGAAGAAGAGAAGGCAUCUAAGAAGAACAAAGGAAAAAUCUAAAAGGCACGAUUAAAGGUGAGAAAACUACUUCAAUCGCGAGAAAUUUUCGACCCAAAAGGCACUCUGUGAGAAACUAACUUCAGGUGUGGAGCAAUUGAAGAAAGGGAAGAUGGACAUAGUGAAGAUCUAGACCUUACUUAAGAACUUUGAAUUGUUGUCGAUGUUGUAGGAAUCUUUUGUUAUCAACAUUUGAAACUUACUCUAACUCUUGAAGUGUUGAAAUGUAAAACUAAUGUGAUUGGGUUAAAACAUUUUGAUUUUAUGGAUAUAUUAGCUUAUUGGACAAUAUAGAUUAUGAAGUGUUUUAUCU